GUCCCUGUAGCGCAAAGGCUAGCGCUUUGGACUUCUAAUCUAAGAUCGUGGAUUCGAAUUCUACCUGGGAGA